AUUGAACGCUGGCGGCAUGCUUUACACAUGCAAGUCGAACGGCAACAGGUUAAGCUGACGAGUGGCGAACGGGUGAGUAAUGCAUCGGAACGUGCCCGAUCGUGGGGGAUAACGCAGCGAAAGCUGCGCUAAUACCGCAUACGAUCUGAGGAUGAAAGCGGGGGACCGUAAGGCCUCGCGCGAUCGGAGCGGCCGAUGUCAGAUUAGGUAGUUGGUGGGGUAAAGGCUCACCAAGCCGACGAUCUGUAGCUGGUCUGAGAGGACGACCAGCCACACUGGGACUGAGAAACGGCCCAGACUCCUACGGGAGGCAGCAGUGGAGAAUUUUGGACAAUGGGCGCAAGCCUGAUCCAGCAAUGCCGCGUGCAGGAAGAAGGCCUUCGGGUUGUAAACUGCUUUUGUACGGAGCGAAAAGGCUCUCUCUAAUACAGGGGGCUCAUGACGGUACCGUAAGAAUAAGCACCGGCUAACUACGUGCCAGCCGCCGCGGUAACAC
rnacentral:rRNA from 1 species